UGAAAGACGUGGUAGCCUGCGAAAAGCUUCGGGGAGUCGGCAAACAGACUUUGAUCCGGAGAUGUCUGAAUGGGGGAACCCAGCCAUCAUAAGAUGGUUAUCUUAAGCUGAAUACAUAGGCUUAAGAGGCGAACCAGGGGAACUGAAACAUCUAAGUACCCUGAGGAAAAGAAAUCAACCGAGAUUCCCUUAGUAGUGGCGAGCGAACGGGGACUAGCCCUUAAGUGGCUUUGAGAUUAGCGGAACGCUCUGGAA
rnacentral:rRNA from 1 species